UGAACGCUGGCGGCGUGCCUACUACAUGCAAGUCGAGCGAACGGACGAGAAGCUUGCUUCUCUGAUGUUAGCGGCGGACGGGUGAGUAACACGUGGAUAACCUACCUAUAAGACUGGGAUAACUUCGGGAAACCGUAGCUAAUACCGGAUAAUAUUUUGAACCGCAUGGUUCAAAAGUGAAAGACGGUCUUGCUGUCACUUAUAGAUGGAUCCGCGCUGCAUUAGCUAGUUGGUAAGGUAACGGCUUACCAAGGCAACGAUGCAUAGCCGACCUGAGAGGGUGAUCGGCCACACUGGAACUGAGACACGGUCCAGACUCCUACGGGAGGCAGCAGUAGGGAAUCUUCCGCAAUGGGCGAAAGCCUGACGGAGCAACGCCGCGUGAGUGAUGAAGGUCUUCGGAUCGUAAAACUCUGUUAUUAGGGAAGAACAUAUGUGUAAGUAACUGUGCACAUCUUGACGGUACCUAAUCAGAAAGCCACGGCUAACUACGUG
rnacentral:rRNA from 1 species